rnacentral:lncRNA from 1 species
AGUUCUGAUUGUAUUUCAUUGUUAUUUGUGUGCUUCUUUUAAAGAGAGAAGGGCAGGACACAACAGUAAAAAUGAAAUACUUUUCUCAUGUUGCCUGCGCUUUGCUCCAGGAAUGAAGCCAUUAGCUUCGGAUUACACGUUCACUUCAGCCAAACGACGGCAGAAACAAGAAAACAUUGAAAAAGUCGGUGCUUGAGAGAGGAGACCAAGGAAGACAGCCAGCCUCCGAGGAAGCUUGAAGGAUGAUCGCAGACAGGGAAGAUGGGUUAGGGAGUGCUGAGAAUAAAGCACCAGCCGAGAAGAUUCAAAACCAAGAGGGAUGUUGGAAGGCAGAGAAGACGGUUCAGAGAUGAGAAGAGGAGUUAAACUUUAGUGCUAUAGGAUUGUCUUGUUGAAUGAUGACACUCUAGGUUGAGUGAGUAUGGCAAACUGCAAAACAUGGCUCUAGAUUCCUUUCCUCCCUCUUCUCAUCUGGAGGAGGAGUCUAUUUCUCCACCUCCAUGAAUCUGGGCUGCCUGAGUCUGUCACUGGUUUUGACCAACAGAAUAUGGCAGAAAUGGUGCUGUGUAACUUCAGAGACCAGAGCUAAAGAGAUCUACAUCUUCUAAUUUCACUCCCUGUGGAAGCUAACUGCCAUGUAAGAUGUCAGUCCGCCAUGCUAUGAGGAAAUCCAAGCUAGCUACAUGGAGAAAGAGAGGCUACACAGAGAUGCACUGAGACCCCAGACAUGGGAGUGAAGCAUUCUUGGAUCUUCCAGCCCGUCUCAGC